GCCUUCUUAGCUUAGUUGGUAGAGCACCCGCUUAGUAAGUGGGAGGUCGUCGGU
rfam:Perkinsus marinus ATCC 50983 gcontig_1104296682682, whole genome shotgun sequence.